UGGGAGGAAAGUCCGAACUCCCCAUGAACCCCCGUGGUUCGUGGUCAUGAUAGUGGGUAACACCCACCUGCCGAUGUGCAAACAUCAGGUACGGGCCAGUGCCACAGAGACUAUACUAUCCCGACAGUGUCGGGAGAAACGUGAAAAGUGAACGGAUGUUUUUAUUCUAUAGAUAAAAGCUACCGUUCUCGUCUCGAUAGCAAUGUCGAGAUGUGGUAAACCCUAUCUGGAGAAAGUGCAGCGUUUGGCAUUGCCAAGCGAAAAGUUAGCACGUGAAGAUUUCAUGAGUAAUCAUGAAACAAGAGAAAUGAUCACCACCGUCUCUUUCGAGAGACGCGGUACAAAAUUCGGCUUAUUGUAUAGAGCAACAA
rnacentral:RNase_P_RNA from 1 species